GUAGGUGGCAAGCGUUGUCCGGAAUUAUUGGGCGUAAAGCGCGCGCAGGCGGUUCUUUAAGUCUGAUGUGAAAGCCCACGGCUCAACCGUGGAGGGUCAUUGGAAACUGGAGAACUUGAGUACAGAAGAGGAAAGCGGAAUUCCACGUGUAGCGGUGAAAUGCGUAGAGAUGUGGAGGAACACCAGUGGCGAAGGCGGCUUUCUGGUCUGUAACUGACGCUGAGGCGCGAAAGCGUGGGGAGCAAACAGGAUUAGAUACCCUGGUAGUCCACGCCGUAAACGAUGAGUGCUAAGUGUUAGGGGGUUUCCGCCCCCCUUAGUGCUGCAGCUAACGCAUUAAGCACUCCGCCUGGGGUACGGCCGCAAGGCUG
rnacentral:rRNA from 1 species